ACGAACGCUGGCGGCGUGCCUAAUACAUGCAAGUUGAGCGAUGAAGAUUGGUGCUUGCCCCAAUUUGAAGAGCAGCGAACGGGUGAGUAACGCGUGGGGAAUCUGCCUUUGAGCGGGGGACAACAUUUGGAAACGAAUGCUAAUACCGCAUAACAACUUUAAACAUAAGUUUUAAGUUUGAAAGAUGCAAUUGCAUCACUCAAAGAUGAUCCCGCGUUGUAUUAGCUAGUUGGUGAGGUAAAGGCUCACCAAGGCGAUGAUACAUAGCCGACCUGAGAGGGUGAUCGGCCACAUUGGGACUGAGACACGGCCCAAACUCCUACGGGAGGCAGCAGUAGGGAAUCUUCGGCAAUGGACGAAAGUCUGACCGAGCAACGCCGCGUGAGUGAAGAAGGUUGUCGGAUCGUAAAACUCUGUUGGUAGAGAAGAACGUUGGUGAGAGUGGAAAGCUCAUCAAGUGACGGUAACUACCCAGAAAGGGACGGCUAACUACGUG
rnacentral:rRNA from 1 species